ACCACUGAAGAAAGAGUUUAUUCAAGAAUUUAUUCACAUCAACAGAUUUCAGAUGCUUUACACCGAUCAGGGUGAACGUAUUAAGAUUAAUAUAAACAGUCUGCAGAAUGCUAAAUGAAUAGCUAGAAGCCUUUAUUAGCUUUUAGUUCAUGUUGGCUACGUCAGCAAACGUCAAACAGAAGCUGUUUUGGGAUUGCUGUUUUUAAGAUAAAACUUUAGGCCAAAUCAUAGCUUUAAAAUCUCUAUCUUCACUGUACAGUAUCAUCGACUAACUCUGCUGUGGCUUUGACGUGUGAUUGGACGAUCUUGCCGUGGCUUUUGAGUCUCGACUGCUGAACAUCAUCCUACAUUUGCAUGCGCCCAAGAUAAUCUCCUCCAUUCCUGCACCUGCUCGAGUCUUGCUCCCACAGAGUCCAGUUGAUUAAGACACUCAUACCGGCUGUAACCCCCAGCAUGACGCACUGUGUGGGUGUGUGUGCUGUUAUCCACAACUGUGACCUAUGUGACCCCUGACCCCCCCAUGGCGCCCUAUUGCAGGUCAUUCUGGAUCCCACAGUGUCACGGAGCAGCUCACAUCAGCAGCCAGAACCUCAACAGAACAGAGGACAUCCCCCAUGCUGGCUACGGCCCUCCUCCACAAGAUACUCAGGACUUCAAGCACACUCAGUCCUUCAUGCUGUGAGAAAGCCUCAUUCUCUCUCCACACACACACACACACACACACACACACACACACUCAGCAUUAACACAAACACUGGAACCAAAGGGCCUGUGCCAUAAGUGAUGCCAGCUCACACUGCCGCUGUGGACGGGGAGCAGCGCGGGACAGAAAGCAGCCUUUUCAUCUCAUGUUCUGCUGCUGCUCUGAAGACCCUUUGACUGAUCUUCAAAUAGAGACUAUUUGUGCAGCAGCACCAUGUGGAGCCCAGUCAGUAUAAUGAUACUGCACAGUGCACGUCUCCACUGUGCACCUGCGCCCUCUGGUGGAACCUUAAUGCACAUGAAGGAGAUCACGGCUGGAGUGCAACAAGCUUGAGGGAGACUCAGUGAAAAAUCGAAUUUACAGUUUUCUCCUCAUCCUCUAUAUAGUUAAGAAGCCAAGACUGGACUGGAGAUACGGGGAUUGUGUAGCUAACAGAAGCAUCUGCUGUUUAGAACAUCUGUUCAGCUCUAAACACAGUGAGUACAAACUUUAAACAUAAAUGCUAAUCUUAUGAUAACACAUGAGAACAGCCGAUUAAAAAUCUCCUAAAUUGAUGCCAAUUAAUUGAAUACAGUUUAGUUGUUUGGUCAAGUUUAACUAUCUAUUUAUUUAUCUAUAUAUAUAUAUAUAUAUAUAUAUAUAUUUAAGGGUUGAAAAAUGUGGCAAAUUUAUCGUUGAAUAAAAGUAGCAAAUAUUGGAAAAAUAACUGAUCA
rnacentral:lncRNA from 1 species